AGUCAAAUGUCAACUGACAUUUAAAGAUUUUUUUCUUUUCAUGUAAUACAAAUUACUUUCUUGGAAGGGUAAGUGAACUCUAGCCUAUUUAAUAAGCAGACACAGAGCAUAAUGUUAAGAGCAUAAGGUUUGGUGCUUGCUUAGGAAUAUUAUAAAUUGGGCAAUCUGUUUAACUUUUUCUUCAAGCAUUUGUUCAAGCAUGGGUGUCACUAAGGGGAUCACUGAAGAAGCAGAGAAAGAGGUCCUCUGAAGUGGAAGAGGCCUGUGGUUAUGGGAAGAGAAAAUAUAGCAGUGCAUAGCAUGGCUCUUGGGACCUAAGUACAGUUAGAACAUGUUGCCUCAGCAGACAGCAAAGAGGACGCCAAAGACCAAGGACCAAUGGGAUGAACAUUUCAAUGACCAAGGCUCGCACCUCAUCCUGUGCUUCCCCAUUCAAAAAGCCAAAUCAGCAUAGAACCCCUCCUUAGGAGCCUCUACCAAGAAUAUAUUGAAGUCAGGAUAAAAUAUUCCUCCUACAUCCGCACGCUGGGUUCUCUCUAGCCCUGUUUCUUCCCCCCUCAUAAACCAUUAACUAAAUUGUUCGUCCUCACUGAUCCCUAAGAACAAAGUGCUUGUUAACUAAUUUGACCUAACUUUAGUUAACCUUCUCUCCCCCUACGGGACCCUGAACUGUGACCCACCUCAGCCAGAGCCAACAAUGACCUGCAGAAAGAGCCUCCUUACUGCAAACAAAAGACACUGCAUAAACCAUGCUUACUCUUCACUGUAUAAGAACAGGUCUUUCCUUCCUGACCUUUUAGAUGUUUGAUCCUAUGGUCUGAGUUCUCCCUAUUGAAACUGUCUCCCUCUUCCUGUUGCAGAAGGCUUUUUCUCCCCUCUUACAACACUGUUUUAAAUAAAAUGUCUCCUUACCUAAAUCUGGAGUUGUUUUUAUUUAAAAAUACUUGGUGUAGUUUUGUUAUAAGUUAAAUUAACCUUUGGUAUAGCUUUGAUAUAAGUUCAAUUGACCUAACCUGGAAAUCUGAAUAUCAAUAUAUUUACUCAUUCAUUUAUUUAGUAAGUCUUGACUGAGAACUUACUGUGGGGACUUUGUAAGGUGUCACAAGACUGAACAACACUUCCUGAUAUUCUCUUCCUUGUACACUUCCAGUUAGAGUGGGCCACAAGAGAGAUUUUCAUGGGAGAUUUGGAGGGCAAAAUUGAAGAAGCAGCCAUUUUUCAUAACUCACCUCCUGACACAAAUCAAUGACUGGGCUGGCAAGUGCUUGCUUCACUGUCCCCAGGAAUCUCUUUCAGCUUCU
rnacentral:lncRNA from 1 species